rnacentral:rRNA from 1 species
GAUGAACGCUGGCGGCGUGCCUAAUACAUGCAAGUCGAGCGAACAGAUGAGGAGCUUGCUCCUCUGACGUUAGCGGCGGACGGGUGAGUAACACGUGGAUAACCUACCUAUAAGACUGGGAUAACUUCGGGAAACCGGAGCUAAUACCGGAUAAUAUAUUGAACCGCAUGGUUCAAUAGUGAAAGACGGUUUUGCUGUCACUUAUAGAUGGAUCCGCGCCGCAUUAGCUAGUUGGUAAGGUAACGGCUUACCAAGGCAACGAUGCGUAGCCGACCUGAGAGCGGGAUCGGCCAGACUGUGACUGAGACACGGUCCAGACUCCUACGGGAGGCAGCAGCAGGGAAUCUUCCGCAAUGGUCGAAAGCCUGACGGAGCAACGCAGCGUGAGUGAUAAAGGUCUUAGGAUCGUAAAACUCUGUUAUUAGGGAAGAACAAAUGUGUAAGUAACUAUGCACGUCUUGACGGUACCUAAUCAGAAAGCCACGGCUAACUACGUG